UCAUCCACAACCUCAUUAGCCAUAAGAGCUGCAUCCUGAAUUUGCCUUCCUUUCACCAAAGUAUGUUGACACUCGCUUGUUCAAAUAACAACAUUCAUCAUUCUCCACGUUCCGCCAGGUUGUGGUCCUUCCUGAAUGAAAAUUCGCCACACUGCCUCCUCUUUCUCCUCUGUGAAGAUCAGGAACCUUUCCCUCUUGUUCCUGCCCAUGGAUACCCACAAGUUGAGCCUCCUUUCCGUAUUGUUCCGAUCCCAAACCUUCCCGCGUUUAGUCCAGUGAAAUUCAUGUAAAGUGCCUAGCAACCAUGCCACUUCUUUCCGAAAAAGGUCGAAACCCUAAAACCUCUUCCAUUCUAACUCACCCUUUGUCUUUCCGAUUUUCUCCCUCAAAGAUGACAAAAAAUCUCGCUUUUGAUGGCCAGAAAUGUUCUAUCCUGAAUGACCUUUCUGACCACCCCCCAAGGCAACGAGGAUGGUCAUGCAAGUGUCCUCGGCCUAUGUGUCUUCUUUUGACUGGUCAAAACGU
rnacentral:lncRNA from 1 species